rnacentral:rRNA from 1 species
GCAUAUCAAUAAGCGGAGGAAAAGAAACCAACAGGGAUUGCCCCAGUAACGGCGAAGUGAAGCGGCAACAGCUCAAAUUUGAAAUCUGGCCCCCCGGCCCGAGUUGUAAUUUGGAGAGGAUGCUUUUGGCGCGGCGCCGUCCGAGUUCCUUGGAACAGGACGCCACAGAGGGUGAGAGCCCCGUACGGACGGACGCCUAGCCUCUACAAAGCUCCUUCGACGAGUCGAGUAGUUUGGGAAUGCUGCUCAAAAUGGGAGGUAAAUUUCUUCUAAAGCUAAAUACCGGCCAGAGACCGAUAGCGCACAAGUAGAGUGAUCGAAAGAUGAAAAGCACUUUGAAAAGAGGGUUAAAAAGUACGUGAAAUUGUUGAAAGGGAAGCGCCUGUGACCAGACUUGCGCCCCGCGGACCACCCGGCGUUCUCGCCGGUGCACUCCGCGGGGCGCAGGCCAGCAUCGGUUCUCCUAGGGGGACAAAGGCCGCGGGAACGUAGCUCCUUCGGGAGUGUUAUAGCCCGCGGCGGCAUGCCCCUGGGGGGACCGAGGACCGCGCUUCGGCAAGGAUGCUGGCGUAAUGGUCACCAGCGACCCGUCUUGAAACACGGACCAAGGAGUCAAGCAUUGGGGCGAGUGUAUGGGUGCCAAACCCGCACGCGAAAUGAAAGUAAACGCAGGUGAGAGCUUCGGCGCAUCAUCGACCGAUCCUGAUGUCUUCGGAUGGAUUUGAGUAAGAGCCUUACCGCUUGGACCCGAAAGAUGGUGAACUAUGCCUGAAUAGGGUGAAGCCAGAGGAAACUCUGGUGGAGGCUCGCAGCGGUUUCUGACGUGCAAAUCGAUCGUCAAAUUUGGGCAUGGGGGCGAAAGACUAAUCGAACCAUCUAGUAGCUGGUUACCGC